rnacentral:misc_RNA from 1 species
GUGAAUCAUCGAAUCUUUGAACGCAUAUUGCACUCUCUGGUAAUCCGGGGAGUAUGCCUGUUUGAGGGUCAGUAAAUAAUAAUUAUCAUGAAUCUUUUGAUUUAUGGAAUUGGGCUUUUAUUUCGAUAGAUUUAUGGCCUUAAAUUUACGUUAUGGGCUUGUCAUAUAAAAUCCGAUCUAAAGGAGCAAUUAAACAUUCUCUCAUUAGCGCGGAUUUUUACAAGCUGUUAUGAUCUUUGGUUGCUUUCAGCAUUUUUACGAGUGCGAAACCAAGGUCGUAAGUUUACUCUAACAAUGACC